AGUGGGGAAUAUUGGACAAUGGACCAAAAGUCUGAUCCAGCAAUUCUGUGUGCACGAUGAAGGUCUUCGGAUUGUAAAGUGCUUUCAGUUGGGAAGAAGAAAGUGACGGUACCAACAGAAGAAGCGACGGCUAAAUACGUGCCAGCAGCCGCGGUAAUACGUAUGUCGCAAGCGUUAUCCGGAUUUAUUGGGCGUAAAGCGCGUCUAGGCGGUUUUGUAAGUCUGAUGUGAAAAUGCGGGGCUCAACUCCGUAUUGCGUUGGAAACUGCAGAACUAGAGUACUGGAGAGGUGGGCGGAACUACAAGUGUAGAGGUGAAAUUCGUAGAUAUUUGUAGGAAUGCCGAUGGAGAAGUCAGCUCACUGGACAGAUACUGACGCUGAAGCGCGAAAGCGUGGGGAGCAAA
rnacentral:rRNA from 1 species